GAUGAAGAACGUAGUGAAAUGCGAUACGUAAUGUGGAUUGCAGAAUUCAGUGAAUCAUCGAAUCUUUGAACGCACAUUGCGCCUGCCAGCACUCUGGCAGGCAUGCCUGUUCGAGCGUCAUUUCAACCAUCAAGCCCUAGGCUUGCGUUGGAGCCCUGCGGCUGCCGCAGGCCCCUAAAAGCAGUGGCGGGCUCGCUAUCACACCGAGUGCAGUAGAUUACUCUUCGCUCAGGGCGUGUGGCGGGUUCCAGCCGUGAAACCCCCUACUUCUCAAGGUUGACCUCGGAUCAGGUAGGAAUACCCGCUGAACUUAAGCAUAUCAAUAAGCGGAGGA
rnacentral:misc_RNA from 1 species